rnacentral:rRNA from 1 species
AUUGAACGCUGGCGGCAGGCCUAACACAUGCAAGUCGAGCGAGCGGCGGACGGGUGCGUAAUGUCUGGGCAACUGCCUGCUGGAGGGGGAUAACUACUGGAAACUGUAGCUAAUACCGCAUACCCUCAGUUUUGCCCAGAUGGGAUUAGCUAGUAGGGGGGGUAACGGCUCACCUAGGCGACGAUCCCUAGCGGGUCUGAGAGGAUGACCAGCCACACUGGAACUGAGACACGGUCCAGACUCCUACGGAGGGAGUCAGUGGGGAAUAUUGCACAAGGGGCGCAAGCCUGAUGCAGCCAUGCCGCGUGUAUGAAGAAGGCCUUCGGGUUGUAAAGUACUUUCAGCGGGGAGGCGUUACCCGCCGAAGAAGCACCGGCUAACUCCGUGCCAGCAGCCGCGGUAAUUC